UACGAAGGGGGCUAGCGUUGCUCGGAAUCACUGGGCGUAAAGCGCACGUAGGCGGCUUACUAAGUCAGGGGUGAAAUCCUGGAGCUCAACUCCAGAACUGCCUUUGAUACUGGUGAGCUUGAGUCCGGAAGAGGUGAGUGGAACUGCGAGUGUAGAGGUGAAAUUCGUAGAUAUUCGCAAGAACACCAGUGGCGAAGGCGGCUCACUGGUCCGGUACUGACGCUGAGACGCGAAAGCGUGGGGAGCGAACAGG
rnacentral:rRNA from 1 species